rnacentral:RNase_P_RNA from 22 species
AAACCGCAAGUGUGCAGUCGCUGUGUAACUACAGGUUAUACAGAGGAAAGUCCGAACUUCCCAGGGCAGGGUGCCGGUCGAGAGCCCUUGUGGCUCAAGCCCGGGGGCAGCGGUGCAAACCGUUUGUCACAGAGAGUGCAACAGAAAAAAAACCGCUCCGGGAAACCGGAGUAAGGGUGAAAAGGCGGUGUAAGAGACCACCAGACAUUUCAGAAAUGGGAUGUGCUUGGCAAACCUCCCCGAAGCAAGGCUAAAUAGGAAUGCUUUUCCUUUACGGAAAGAGAGUUGCCCGCUCAAUUCUUCUUCGGAAGAGAGUUUUCGGGUAAGCCGCAUCAGAUAAAUGGCUGCAGUUUUAUCCGGAUUCCGGAUAAUUCACAGAAUUCGGCUUACAGCUUCGGUUUUGGC